rnacentral:sRNA from 14 species
AGUAGGCCAGACAGCCAUUGACGUUGGUAUUGUGUUUUUCGAAUCAGUGACGGUACCGUUGGUCAGUGAAGUGAGAGUGAAUUGUCGUAGGAAAGUCCGAGUCGGUGCGGUGCAGUGAAAUCAAAAUUAAUAAAAAAAAGGAAAUGAAAAAAAGAAAGGCAAAAUAAAGCUAUAAGAGAAGAAAUGAAACAUAAAGAAAAACAAAAUAAAUAAAAUCCAUAAAAAGAAUAUGAGAAAAAUAAAAUAAUAUAAAACAAAGACAAAAAACAAAUACCUGCAUAAUCAAACAAAAAGCAAUAACGCCAGAGCAGCAAUAACAACAACAGCAAAGCCCCUAGUGAAAAUGAUAAACAUUUUUCUUUGCUAGCUGCCUUUAUUCUACAAAUAUUUGACUUAACAAAGUUUGAAAAAACAACAACUACAACAACAGAAGAGUUAUUCACGACAAUAACCAUAACACAAGAACAACAAUAAAGCAAAUAAACCCUCCAACAUAGAAACAAAACUGUCAUCUUUUUACACCAUACCCUCUAUAAUUUUCAUAAUAAAGAAAAUAACAACAAGUGAAGAGCACAUAAAUGAACACACUCACACACAAACACUGCUUUGGUUUUUGAUUGACUUCAACACCAGCAUAGCAGGGUAGAUUUUAUUUAAUUCCCUGUGGAGGCCAAAUUAACCACAGCCACCCCACACCAAAGACCAAUAAAGCGAGAGUGCAAUCUGUUAUGAUAUAUUCUGCAGAAGAAUAAGAACAACAGCAACAACAACUACAAUAGAAACAAAGUGACACGGAUAUCAGGCAACCCCCUUUAGACUUCAUUAUUUGAAAUAUACCGCCGAGGUCCUAUUGGCAAAGUCAUGAGCCGUGAAUGGUAGUAUGGCUACCAUUAAGGAAUCGCAAGACCCUAAUGUCGAGGAGACUUUAAGCAGCAUCAAUAAAAUAGAGAAAAUGGAUUCUUCAUUGGAUACACCGCUGGAAG